rnacentral:rRNA from 1 species
GACGAACGCUGGCGGCGUGCUUAACACAUGCAAGUCGAACGGAAAGGCCCUGCUUUUGUGGGGUGCUCGAGUGGCGAACGGGUGAGUAACACGUGAGUAACCUGCCCUUGACUUUGGGAUAACUUCAGGAAACUGGGGCUAAUACCGGAUAGGAGCUCCUGCUGCAUGGUGGGGGUUGGAAAGUUUCGGCGGGUGGGGAUGGACUCGCGGCUUAUCAGCUUGUUGGUGGGGUAGUGGCUUACCAAGGCUUGGACGUGUAGCCGGCCGGAGGGGGCGACCGGCCACACAGGCACUGAGACACGGCCGAGACUCCGACGGGGGGCAGCAGAGGGGAAAUGUGGACAAUGGGCGCAAUGCGGAGCAAGCAAUGCCGCGUGUGGCAAGAAGGCCUUCGGGUUGGAAACCGGGUUUGUACGGAACGAAAAGGCUCUGGCUAAGACCUGGGGCUGAUGACGGGACCGAAAGAAAAAGCACGGGCAAACUACGUG